rnacentral:rRNA from 1 species
GACGAACGCUGGCGGCGUGCUUAACACAUGCAAGUCGAACGGAAAGGCCCUGCGUUUGUGGGGUGCUCGAGUGGCGAACGGGUGAGUAACACGUGAGUAACCUGCCCUUGACUUUGGGAUAACUUCAGGAAACAGGGGCGAAUACCGGGUAGGAGCUCCUGAUGCACGGUGGGGGUUGGAAAGUUUCGGCGGUUGGGGCUGGACUCGCAGGUUAUCCGCUUGUUUGUGAGGUAGUGGCUUACCAAGGCUUUGACGGGUAGCCGGCCUGAGAGGGUGACCGGGCACAAUGGGCCUGAGGUAGGGCCCAGUCUCGUACGGGCGGCAGCAGUGGGGAAUAUUGCACAACGGGCGGAAGCCUGAUGCAGCAACGCUGCGUGCGUGAUGCCGGCCUUCGGGUUGUAAACCGCUUUCGACUGUGACGAAGCGUGAGUGACGGUAAUGGGUAAAGAAGCACCGGCUAACUACGUG